AAUCAACGCUGGCGGCGUGCCUAACACAUGCAAGUCGAGCGCGAAAGGGGAGCAAUCCCCAAGUAGAGCGGCGAACGGGUGAGUAACGCGUGGGUAAUCUGCCUCCGAGUGGGGAACAACACCGGGAAACUGGUGCUAAUACCGCAUGACAUCGUUGGACCUUCGGAUCUAACGAUCAAAGCCGGGGACCGCAAGGCCUGGCGCUUGGAGAGGAGCCCGCGUCCGAUUAGCUAGNGGUUGGGGUAAUGGCCCACCAAGGCUACGAUCGGUAGCCGGCCUGAGAGGGCGGACGGCCACACUGGGACUGAGACACGGCCCAGACUCCUACGGGAGGCAGCAGUGGGGAAUUUUUCGCAAUGGGCGAAAGCCUGACGAAGCAACGCCGCGUGGAGGAUGAA
rnacentral:rRNA from 1 species